GAUGAACGCUAGCGGCAGGCUUAAUACAUGCAAGUCAAGGGGGUAGCAAUACAACCGGCGCACGGGUGAGUAACGCGUACACAACAUACCAUAUACUGGGGUAUAGCUUCGGGAAACUGAAGGUAAUCCCCCAUAAUAUUGCGGGAAGGCAUCUUUCUGCAAUUAAAGUUUCGCGGUAUAUGAUUGGUGUGCGUUUGAUUAGCUAGUUGGUAGGGUAACGGCCUACCAAGGCGACGAUCAAUAGCUGGCGUGAGAGCGCGACCAGCCACACUGGAACUGAGACACGGUCCAGACUCCUACGGGAGGCAGCAGUAGGGAAUAUUGGACAAUGAGCGAAAGCCUGAUCCAGCCAUGCCGCGUGAUAGAUG
rnacentral:rRNA from 1 species